rnacentral:lncRNA from 1 species
AAUCAUCACAUUCAUCAAAGCAUAAAACACAAAACUCAAUUAACCAAAAGAUUCAUAUAACCAAGAGAAUAUAGAAUCAACAAUAAUGAUCUUCAAUCAUCACAUUCAUCAAAGACAAGAAACAAAAACUCAAAUAACCAAAGGGUUCAAAUAACAAAGAGAAUCAAAAGGAGUUCUUACAAAACGUAGCAAUCCAAUGAAAUCCAAUCAGAUGAAAUGUUAAUUGACAUCCAAAGCAAUCCAAUGAAUCCAAAAUCAAAAGUAAUUGAUUUGAAACUCUAAAGACCUUAGGAAAAGGGUGGAAAUCGCCCCUAGAGGCUGCUGGGUUCGAAAGUGAUAAAGUAAAACCCUAGAAAGGGGUUUUUAAUCGAAAAAUCGUACUUUCGGAUCUGAACAGAGGCGGCCGCCGCCGUGGGACGGCGGCCGCCGUGGACGGCGCCCGCCGUGCCACGGCGCCGCCGUGUAUGCCUUUCGCAGACUGCAAUGCGCAGCGUUUUUGUUUUGGUCCGUUCUCCCUCGUUUCAAGUCGGAUUUUAGAUCCGUUUUCGCCUACGAACUCGUAUCGAGACGAACUUUGAUUCUUCUUCAGACCAUUCAACUAAAUUCUGACUUUAAUUUUGUUCACAUAUCAAUCAAUGUGAG